CAAAAAAUAAAAACAAAAAACAAGAUAGCCAAAACUAUUCUGAAUAAGAGGAUUUCUGGAGGAAUCACCAUCUCUAACCUCCAGCUGUGUUACAGAGUACACAGGGAUGGACCUAUGGCUCCAUCCACAUACGUAGCAGAAGAUGGCCUUGUCAGGCAUCAGUGGGAAGAGAGGCCCUUGGUCCUGUCAAGGCUCCAUGCCCCAGUGUAGGGGAAUGUCAAGAUGGGGAAGUGGCAGGGAGUGGAUGGGUGGGUGAGGGACCAUCCUCAUAGAAGCAGGGGGAGGGAGAUAGUGGGUUUCUGGAGGGGAAACCAGGAAAGGGGAUAACAUUUAAAAUGUAAAUAAAAAAA
rnacentral:lncRNA from 1 species